AGAGACUUAGGUUAAGCUAUAAACCAAAGGCCUUCAAAGCCUUAAAUAAGAGUGAAAAUCUCUUAGCCUCUG
rnacentral:tRNA from 1 species